CCUACGGGGGGCAGCAGUGGGGAAUAUUGGACAAUGGGGGGAACCCUGAUCCAGCCAUGCCGCGUGUGUGAAGAAGGCCCUCGGGUUGUAAAGCACUUUCAGUGAGGAAGAACGCCUGGUGGUUAAUACCCAUCAGGAAAGACAUCACUCACAGAAGAAGCACCGGCUAACUCCGUGCCAGCAGCCGCGGUAAUAUGGAGGGUGCGAGCGUUAAUCGGAAUUACUGGGCGUAAAGCGCGCGUAGGUGGCUUGAUAAGCCGGUUGUGAAAGCCCCGGGCUCAACCUGGGAACGGCAUCCGGAACUGUCAAGCUAGAGUGCAGGAGAGGAAGGUAGAAUUCCCGGUGUAGCGGUGAAAUGCGUAGAGAUCGGGAGGAAUACCAGUGGCGAAGGCGGCCUUCUGGACUGACACUGACACUGAGGUGCGAAAGCGUGGGUAGCAAACAGGAUUAGAUACCCGGGUAGUC
rnacentral:rRNA from 1 species